CAGCACCUCAAGUGGUCAGGAUGAUUAUUGGGCCUAAAGCAUCCGUAGCCGGCGCUGUAAGUUUUCGGUUAAAUCUGUACGCUCAACGUACAGGCUGCCGGGAAUACUGCAGCGCUAGGGAGUGGGAGAGGUAGACGGUACUCGGUAGGAAGGGGUAAAAUCCUGUGAUCUAUUGAUGACCACCUGUGGCGAAGGCGGUCUACCAGAACACGUCCGACGGUGAGGGAUGAAAGCUGGGGGAGCAAACCGGAUUAGAUACCCGAGUAGUCC
rnacentral:rRNA from 1 species